rnacentral:lncRNA from 1 species
UUGCAUUUGGUUUUGACAAAGGAACCAUUGUGGUUAAAAUGAAUGGCUCUCAUACUUGGGAUUCUGUUGACCUCCAAGCUUAGAAGGAAGGGUUGAAGGAAUAAAGACAUCGAAUGCUGCGCGAUUUGUACUGUGUUCUCCGAAGUAAUUAGACUAAAGGAAUAAUUAAUUUCACUUAAAACUUGCUGCUCCUGCUUUUACUGUUGUAUGAUUUGCAAAUAAAACUUAUCUUUGUGUGUUUUGUAGUAUAUCCCAUGAGGGAACAUGUUGUAAGGAUCAAUCGAAAUUGAAUGUUAUAUGUGUUCUUUAACAAAUUACACUGGUGCAUAUAGUAGAUUCAGUAAAAUACAUAUGUAAACUGCAAAUUACCAGUAAUAAAACCCUUUAUGUUCUUCCCAGAAAUUUAGUUGGUGACUGCUGUUUACUGGUGCUGAAUAAAUUUGGUGAAAAUAAUAGAAAUCUUGCCAUACAAGGAAAAAGACGGAAGGCUAGACAGGACUCUAGGAAAUUCCAGCCUCAAAUCCAAAGGGUCUCAACCAGAAGUUUUAAAGACUAAGAUUAGAACUCUCAAAUGUAUUAAAAGCACGAUCUGCAUGAAGAACAUACAAGAAUGCUCUCUCUUGUCCACAACAUAUGUCAAGAGAGGACGCUUAGCGUAUGCUAAAGAGAACCAGAAAAUGCCAUUAAUGAAAGCAGACCCUGGUAUAUUAAAUGUCAAUCUGUUCUCGCAAUAAGAUAUCUAUGUAAUUCAUAAUAAAAUCUAUGCAUGUAUUGGAUUCAUGGUCUAGCUUAUUACUCAAGGAUCUACAACUUAAUUUCACCUUGUUUCUUUUCAUGGCUAAGACUGAGGCCUAUAAAUUCAAGGAUUGUUUUACCUUCUACAUGCACCUCAAAAUUUCAAGAAAGAAAUAAGGGAUAUAAAGAGCAAUAUGGAAGGCAAGGGUUCCAGGAGACUUGUGCAAGCAGUACUCAUCCUCGUGAUGAUGAACAUGUUUUCGGUGAGUCAAGUGCAGGCUCAGUCCAAAACGUGCAUGCUCAAAUGCAUGCUCCUCUGUCAUGGUGUUAAAGCCAGCACAAUUUGUACAGGAUUGUGUUUGAAAGCUUGUAAGAAGACGCUCCCAGGCCCUCUCUACUACUGCAAUCUUGGUUACACAACUUCAAUCUGCACCAACCUCAGCCCUGGGACGUUGCAUGCAUAUCAAAUAUGAUCACCUCAAUAUCCAAAAUCACAAAUAGGACAUGAAUUUCCAUAUUCACCUUUUUUAUUUUUGGGUGGAGAUUAUGUUGUUAUUAAUCCUGUUGAUAAAAUUAACGCUGAUGUGCAAACAUGAAUAGUUUUUCUUUGAUAAAAAUACUUUGACAUUUGUAUUAAAGAAAUAUAUAUAAUUGUUCGGUUUAGUACAAAUCGCUAAUAUGAUGUAAAACCCAUGAGUCGAACUGAUCAACAGUAUGGUUUGGUGUUUGAGCCAAGGUUGACAUUUUUGUUUCUUCAGUUUUUCUCGUUUCGGUCCAUCAGUUCAACUGUUUUUUUGCCUACCCCAUAUAUGUUCAUCUCUUGGUUUCAUAGGCCCACUAGGAUUGAGGCGUUUCGGAAUACCAUAUCGGAACCGGAGUAUUGGUAGCGGAUGAUUGGUUUUCUUUGCUUUCUCAAUUGUCUCAUUUCAAUGUUGGGUUCCAUCAUGUUAUGAGUCUUUGCUUUUUCAAUUUAAGAAGGGAAUACCGAGUAUAGCCGACCGGCUAUACUAUUCUGAAAAAUAAGCCUGAAAAAUACGUGACAAUAUAGCGCCGCGGCUAUACUAUUUAUAUGAAAUAGAAGCCCAGCCUAUACUUUUUAAAAAUAAUAAUUACCGUAGUACAGACAGGCGGCUAUACCAUUAUUAGUUUUUUAGUUAAAUACCCAAUUCUUCACCUAGUCCUAUUACAAAACCCUAUACCAUUUAAUCUUUAUAAAUAUACCCAAAAUAAACCCAAAAAUUAACAAUUGUACAUUUUUUUUUAAUUUAAUUAAUAAGAUGACAUACCUUUAUUACCCUUUUUAGCAUUAAAUUAGUUUUGGAUCUCGUUUAAAAUCUAUAGAAUGCUGAGAACAUAAAAAUUCGACAAAACCACUCCCUGAGGUUUGAAGCCUCAAGCCCCUCUCCUCCUUCAAACCCUCAUCUCUCCUCUAUUCUCUCCCUUCUUCCCUUUCUCUGCCUUCAAAGUAAACCAAACAAUCUCAGAGCCAUGACCGACACAAGACCGACGACAAUCUCCGUUAUGUUGGUGGCCUCACACGUGUUCUCGCUGCCGAUGCCUCCAUUUAGGUUUAUUCCAUUUGCUUCAAUUCGUUAUUUUUCUUUUCAUUUUUGCUUAAUUUACUUGAAUUUCUAUUCGAUUUCAGUUUCUUCGUUGAAUUUGGUGCUAAUUUCCAUUUUUUUCUAUAUGAACAUUGCUAAUGGUUAAGCUCGUGGAGUUCUGUGGCUAUUCUAUAGAUUUGAGGUGUCAAUUGCAGGACAAAGGUGUUCAGAACACCGAUGCUAGUGAUGAUUUCGAGAAGAACGAAGAUGAAGACGAUUUCUCUUUCGCCUACACCAACCCCGACGGAUCACCGAUUUCCAUCGAUGAUAUAUUCCAAAAUGGCCAAAUCCAUCUGGUGUUCCUAAUUUUCAACCGAGAUCUCUUGUUCGUUGAUGCCGACGAUGAUGAUUCUUCUAGAGCCAGAGAAGUUGCCGCUUCCUCUUCUCCUCUGCAACCGCCAUUGAAGAAGCUCUUCUUUAAAGAAUGGGAUACGCCGACCUCGGCAACGUCGUUUUACAACUCAGGAGAUCAACCAGCUUCUGAGUUUGAUCAUCAACAACUUCUACAUCAACAAGAAGAUCUUUCUCCGUGAGCUCAUCAGUAACGCUUCUGUUGUACGUAUUUUCACCAUUUAUUCUUAUGCUGAUUUCUCAUUUCAGUAUUUUCUUGUUUUUAUUGUAUGAAUCGUUGUGUUUUAUGUUUGUGUUUGGUUUGUGAACGUUUUAAAUUCAACGACUUAAUUUGUAUGGCUUAGGUUAGAGAUUUGAACAUGUUAACUUUUAUGUUGUGGUCUAUGAUCGUUUCAAUAUGGAAGGAAACUAAUUUAUUUGUUCUUUAGUCGUGAUAGACAUAUUUGCUUUGGUUGAUGUUUAGUCCUUUCUUUCUUUAAGGGCACCAAAAAUACAAAUUAGCCAAUACAAAACAUUUGCAACAAGCGAAUUUUGGCUUUUUGGGUGGUUGUGGGUCAAAUAUAUGACUCUUGUAAAUUGCAACAAGCUGGUAAGUUGAUUUGUAGUAUACAAUUUGUUAUCUGUAAGUGGUAUGAAUAGUUGUUAACUUCCAGUAAGUGGCAUGAACAGCUGUUAUACUGUUCAUACCCUGCAACUGAGUUGAUUUAUAUGACAUAGUAUUAACAGUGUACUUGUAUGACAUAGUAUUAAUAGAUUUUUAGUAACAAAGGCAUGCUCUAUAUAUAGCUAUGCACUUGAAGUUUAUAAUAUGCAAAAUGUGAUUUUUAUUAGGAAGAUAGUUCUAUGAUAUAGUAUUCACAGUGUACUUCUGUGACAUAGUAUUAACAGUGUUUUUUUUUCUUUUCUUGUAGAGGUAUUUCCUUUUGCCUUUGCGAUUGUUUCUGAUGAAACUCUAGACAAAUUGGAGGUGGCUGCAAAAAAUAUCGAAUGUCUUGCUAGGCUUUUUUGGGUUUGUUUUGAGAUUUUGUAUGAAAUGGUAUUUACAAUGUUUUUCUAUGAAAUUAUAUUAACAAUGUUUUUCUAUAAAAUUGUAUUAACAAUGUACUUCUAUAACAUGAUAUUAAUAAUGUACUUCUAUAACAUGGUAUUAACAAUGUACUUAUAUGACAAGUUAUUAACAAUGUACUUUUAUGACAUGGUUAUAACGUGGUAUUAACAAUGUACUUCUAUGACAUGGUUUGCGGAAAUUUGAUGGAAAAUGAAGGGUCGUGGGGACAGGCCCUUGGUUUUCGUGAUUUUUUUUAAAAAAAGUUUGGGUUUUAAAAAAAAAAUCUAGGUUGGGCUCGCUGGGCUUGUUUUGGGAAUUUUGCGUUAGGCUUAUUUUAAGUUAAUCAAUGGCAGAAAUGUAAUUUAUAGGAACUUCAAUACCAAUUUCAUAUGUAAUAAAUAGUUUUUGGGUAUGUUUCUAAAGUGCAUUCCAUGUAGGAUUUUUUAUAAUUCAAGCCCUUAUUUUGGGUAUAUUACUAAAGCUCUCUACUAUUUUUUUUUUUAAAAAAUUACCGUAGUACAGCCGCACGGCUAUACUAUUUAUAUAUAAAAAAGAAAAAAAAGAAAUACUGCAGCUAUACCUUUAAUUUAAAAAAGUACCCUCCUAGCGAUCCUAGCGAUUAGGUGCCCACGUGUCAAAACAAGUGUAGCCGCGCGGUCAUACUAUUUUAAAAAAUACCCGAGAUUUUUUAAAGAAUAAAUACCGUAGUAUAGCCAAGCAGCUAUACUGUUUAUUUUUUUAAAAAAAUUAUUUUAAAAAAAAACCUCCUAGUUGCAUUAGUUUAUACUUAAUUGAUACUAGCCUCUCCGUGCGAGAUGCUUUUUUUUUAAAAAAAAAAAUUUAAUUUAUUUCAGAAUUGAAAAAGAUAAUGGGUAGUUGUGUUCCAUAAAAAUAAGAUUCAUUAUUUGGAUUUUUCUUUUAAUUUUAAUUUUUUUAAUAUGAAAAAGUGUGAAUUUACCAUAUUAUCCUCAUUUAAUUAAUAAUUGCAUUUCUUAAUGUUUGCAUUAACCAAAUGCAUUUUUUAUUAUUUUAAAUGUUUUACCAUUCUCUGCCUUUUGCCUUGUAUAUAAUUGAUAUUAAUUGGCUAGUUUCAACAUAUCCAAAGCGGAUAUUGAAGAGAGAAAUUUCACAGUAAAUCAAUAUGAGAGUUCAAUUUUUUCUUUCUUUUUUUGUGAGAAUGUUUACCUUUGAUCUAACUCGUUCUCUCAAGUGAAACUUGUUGGAGGAACAACAAUCAAUAUUAUUCUGAUAAUUUAAUUAAACAAUUAAAUUAAAUAAAAAAUAGAAUAAUUAAAUUAAAUAUGGUAGUAAAUAAAAAAUUGAGUGCUUUGACAAAUAGAGGCUUGUAUAAUUGCAAUGUCUUUGAAACAGAAUUUCGCCCCUAGUUCUGCAGACAAACAAGGAUACAACUAUCUAAAUUAAAAUCAUAGCACUAGGGCUUUGAUUUCCGGCAAAAUUUAUGUGUUUAUCUCUUAGUAACCUCAAUUUUAAAUUCAUUAUUACAACUUCUUUUGGUUUGGAUUAUUAUUAAUAUGGAACUCAAUAUCAUAAGUACAUGUAUAUGUGUACAAUAUGAUAAGGAAAUUAAUGUUCGCACUUCCAGUUUAUAUGCCUAAUUCUCAGGCCCCUAAAUUUACACAUACCUAUAUAUUAUAUAUAUAUAUAUAUUAAUUCUGCUUUUUGAAGAUUAAUUAAAUGUUGACGUGAGUCUCCUAAUUAAUUAAAGAGAUUUAUUUUCUUGAUUAAUAAGGGAUUUACUUUCUUAUUUUUAUAUAGUUGAUAAAUCGUUGUAUAAUUAUGAGAUACUUUCCUAAUUCUUUACUGUAUCUAAUUCCUUGUAAAGCACCCCGUAAACUCUUAUAUAUACCUCCUUAUGGAGAAGAAUAAGAUUAACCUAAUACAUUCAAACUAUAUUCAUAUUUUAGCAUGGUAUCAGAGCAAUUGAUCCUAGGUUGUCUCUAAACCCUUAUCUCAAAUUUCUCAUAUUCAAAACCCUAAAUCAAAUUCCUCAUAAUUUUUCCCCAAAUCCAAAUCCCUCAAAUCCUCUUAUCCAAAUCCAUAAACACAUACCCCCAAAUCUUAUACACAUACCUCUUAAAUCCAAUUCCUACAUCAAAUUCCUCACCUUCUUAUAUCACAUCUUACUUCCGCUGCGAUGUCAGGCACCCCUAGGAUUCUCCAUCUUAUUGCAGACUCACAAAAGCACAAUCCUGCUGACCCAGCUACCCGGACUCCUGCUUCUGUCACUACCACCAAAGGUUCUACUUUUCAUACGUCCUCCAAAAACUCCGCAUGGAUUAUUGACUCGGGCGCUGCGGAUCACAUGACAUUUGAUCCUGGCAAACUUAUUUAUCGCAAAUCAUCCACUCCGUUGGUAGUGUCUAAUGCUAAUGAUACCCCCUCCCCUGUGGAUGGAGAGGGCUCUCUAUCUCUCUCUACUUCCCUACAUUUGGAUUCUGUAUUACUUGUUCCAUCUUUGGACCAUAACUUGUUAUCUGUUGCACAACUUACUACUACUUUGUGGUGUACUGUAACAUUUUAGCCAAAUCAUUGUGUUUUUCGGGACAUCCUCACAGGAACGACGAUUGUUUGUGGUACUUGGUGGUGUAAACUCUAUUACUUGGACUGGGCACUGGAUAGUGAGGUCAGGAGUGGUCAAGCUUUCACAACCGAUGGAACUCGUCCUAAGGGGGAGAGAGACAAAAUUUGGUUAUGGCAUAAACGUCUUGGGCAUGCCUCGUUUGGUUAUCUUAAGAAGUUGUUUCCAUCAUUAUUUUCUAGUCUUGAUGUUUCCAGCUUCCAGUGUGAUACGUAUGAAUUAGCCAAGAGCCAUCGUGUCCUGUUCCCAUUAAGUUCAAAUAAGAGUUUGGUUCUGUUUUCUCUUGUUCAUUCUGAUGUUUAGGGACCUGCUAAAAUUGCCACUUUGGCAGGGGCUCGAUGGUUUGUCACGUUUAUAGAUGAUUGCACACGCAUGACUUGGGUUUCCCUUCUCAAAACUAAAGGGGAAGUCAGUUCCAGGUUUCAACAGUUUUAUCAAAUGGUGGAUACUCAAUUUCAUGCCAGAAUUUAGGUUAUUCGUUCUGACAAUGGCAUAGAAUUUCUCAACCAUGAUUUUAACCAGUUCUUACAAGAUCAUGACAUCCUGCAUCAACGCUCAUGCCUUUACACUCCCCAACAGAAUAAGGUGGCUGAAAGAAAGAACAUACACUUAUUGGAAGUCGUUCGUGCCUCUCUUUUUGGUGCCAAUAUAUCACGAUUUUUUUGGGGUGAAGCCGUCGUCUCUGCCGCAUACCUUAUCAAUCGAAUUCUCUCUAGUAUCCUAAAUUUCCAAACACCACUUCAAACACUUCACUACCAUAUCCAAACACCUCCCACACCAAACCUGGAACCCCGAAUUUUCGGCUGUGUUUUAUUUGUCCACUUACAUAAUCACCAAUGAAGCAAAUUGGAUUCUAGAGCCUAAAAGUGUGUUUUCAUUGGCUAUACACCUCAUCAGGAAGGAUACCGGUGUUAUCAUCCUCCUAGUCAGAAAGUCUAUAUUUCUAUGGAUGUUGUGUUCCGGGAAAACGACAUAUAUUUUUCAGCUGCACCGGAGGAGCAUUGCGACACCAACACUUCUCAAAUUUUUGAUUUUUUUCCUCCAAAAUCAUCCCAGCCUGAAAGAGAGUGACCGCCAAUGACUCUGCCUGAAAAUGACCGGUCGCUUAUGACUCUGCCAGAAAACAACCAGUCGUAGCUUGGAAGCAACUGGUCGCUCCCUGAAAACCAGCUUGAGCCUGAUCUGUCGUCUCCUUACUGUCCAACUCAGGAGGAGGAAACUAAUGAGAUUUUGCCCACUCCGGAGACUUCUUUAGCUCCAGUAACACACCAAUAAUCUGCUGAAGAUGUCAUUCAGGUAACAUCUUGUCCUGAAAAUGAUAACACUAAUGAAAUACUCCACGAUGAUUUAAUUUCAAAAGACACAGAGCCUACAUAUCAGCUUUUAGAAAGGAAGAAUCGUGGCAAACAUCGAGUACAAUAUGAAGCAAAUCUUAAAGCCAAAGGGAAAUACCCCAUCAAUAAUUAUAUAUCUCUUAGCAGAUUAUCAAAGUCACGUGUGCACUAUGUGAAGCAGUUGGCUGACAUAUUUGUCCCCAACAAUGUAACUAAAGAACUAGAAGAUCCAAAAUGGAAAAAAGCUAUGAAUGAAGAAAUGCAAGCUUUCUAAAAGAAUGUCAUAUGGGAACUCGUACCCUUACCUCAUGGAAAGAAGACAGUUGGAUGCAUGUGGAUUUAUACUGUGAAACUCAAAGCACAUGGAUCCAUUGAAAGAUAUAAAGCUAGAUUGGUGGUAAAGGGGUACACAGAGAUAUGAGAUAGACUACGAGGAGACCUUUGCCCUAGUAGCCAAGAUUAACACUAUUAGAGUCCUAUUGUCUAUAGCAGCAAAUCUCAAUUGGCCACUACAUCAGUUUAAUGUCAAAAAUGCGUUCUUACAUGGAGACUUGGAAGAAAAAGUAUAUAUGGAUUUACCACCAGGAUGUAACUUAGCUCGUGACAAGGAAAGUCAAGUUUGCAAGCUCAGAAAGUCAUUAUAUGGGUUAAAGCAAUCCCCCUGGACAUGGUUUGGCAGAUUCACUAAAUCCAUGAAGAAUUUUGGAUAUAUACAGAGUAAUGCAUAUCACACUUUGUUCUUGAAGCGUGAUGGAAGAAGACUUACUGCAUUGAUUGUUUAUGUAGAUGACAUAGUAGUAACUGGAAACGACACAAGAGAGCAACUGAAAUUGCAGAAGUAUUUGUCUCAGGAAUUUGAGAUGAAGAAUUAGGUAAUUUGAAGUACUUUCUAGGAAUUUAAGUAGCCAGGUCCACAACUGGUAUAUUUUUGUCUCAAAGGAAGUAUGUAUUAGAUCUGCUCACUGAAACAGGAAUGCUUGGAUGCAAACCUGUUGAUACAUGCAUCGAGAUGAAUCACAAGUUAUGUGAAGACAUGGAUCAAAAACCAACCAAUAAGGAACAGUACCAACCCCUUGUUGGAAUGUUGAUAUAUUUAGCCCACACAAGACCAGAUAUUGCAUAUGCUGUGAGUAUGUACUAAAAUAUGAAAACUAGAGAGAAUAUUUGUUUGUGGGAAUUUUCUGUGUAUUCUUCUCCUUGUAGGAGGUCAUAUUUAUAAUACAACGAAACCUAAAUGGGCAAGUAAAUAAUAAAUUCAUAAAUCUAUUUACAGUAGGAAAUCAGGAAAUAAAGCAAAUCAAUUACAAUUAUAAUAGGAAUUCUUGGUGUGUAAGGAAAGUAAGUCAAUAUCCACAAGUCACGGCAACACUCCCCCUCAUGUUGGUGCACAGAUGUCGCCAAUACCCAACUGAUCCAGUAAAUUGUGGAAUGCUUUACUGGAAAUCGCCUUUGUCAAAAUUUCCACCAAUUGAUCCUCGGAUUUCACAAAAGGAAACUGAAACACUUUAGCCUCAAGCUUCUGUUUGAUGAAGUAUCGAUCCACCUCAACAUGUUUAGUACGAUCAUGCUGAACCGGAUUCUAUGCAAUGGCUAUAGCAGCCUUGUUGUCAUAAAAGAGAUUUAUUGUGGAUGUAGAUUUAUACCCAAGUUCAAUAAGCAACUUUUUUAACCAAAAAAGUUCACAAAUUGAUCAGUUCACAAUUGUAUAUCAUUUUGUACCUUUCUAGCUUAUGAUUUGGUUAUGUUAUUGAGUCAAACGUGUGCUUUUAAUCCCUUUUCUGUUUAUCAUUCAGUUCAUUGGGCCUUAGGUAGCAAUGGUGUCUUUGGAUAAGAAAAGAUGCAAAAUGGUGCAAAAACGAGCAGACUGGGUUAGCAACUCAUUUCGGCCUUAACAUCUUUGUCCGAACUUGGAUUGGCCCAAAUAAUAUGUAGUUGGAAAGAUGAGAGUCUGAACUUCAAGAUGGACUACUCAAAUGCAUCAGAUUAUGAAGUUGAGCCCAAUCCGUGAGCCCAUAUACACACCAGGCUCAGGAUUGCAGUUUCCAGUUGUUGAGCCUUGGAUACUUUCUUUGAGCCAUGUGACUCACCACAGCUUUCCUUGACUUUAGACCUGACAUGUUGAGCAAUUAAGGGAGGUGUGUCAGCUACUCAAGUGCAAAGGAGCCUUGACUUUAGACCAGACAUGUUGAGCAAUUUAGGGAGCAAUUUAGGGAGGUGUUUCAGCUACUCAAAGGCAGAGGAGUCACUCCAUUCACCAAUAAUUCACUCCAGCCAUCCUAUAUCACUUGAUUCAGCCCAAAAUCAAGGGAGGACAACUCCAACAAGCCUUCCUUCCAUUUCCUACGAAUUUGUUCUUUCUCUGCCAUGACCAACCACCCAAACUCAUCCCAAAUCACCUCUUUAAUUGCCAUACUCUAGACAUGAGAAAGUUCUUGGAGUAGCAUUAGACGUGGAGAAGCACCUGGAGAAGCCUUGGAAACCACAAGCAACUUCAGAAUUGGGUUUCUCUACUCUUAUUGCAUUCAAUAUGUUUUCUCAUUUUUGCUUAAGUUUCAUUUCCAUUAUGAGUAGCUAAAUUCAUAACUAGGGCUAUGAUGUAACCUAACAUGAAUAUUCUGGGUUUAAAAGUUGAAGUUUUGAGUUUCAAGUUUGAUUCAUGAUUCAUAUUCCUAUUCUUUAUGCUUAUCAGUUAAUAUGCUUGUUUGGAUGAUUGAUCACCAUUAGAACUUGUAUAUUAGCUACCUUGGUUUGAAUCAAGAGUAGACACCAUGCUUUGAUUUGAAUUGAACUAUGAAUAAGAAAAGUAUGUAUGGACAUUCGACAACAGGGAUUAGAUACAUGCUUGGUUGUUUAAAUUGUUCUUCUAUGCUUAAUGGGUUCCUAAUGCUUAAUUUAGAUUAGACAACAAAUGAUCAAGUUAGGGAAUUAGGAGCACAAGGUUAGGACCAGACACCAUGGCCUAAUCAUACUUUAGCUAGAAUCAAUCUUUGAAUCCGAUUGAGACUUGUCACUUGACUCCUUAUAACCCAGAAUUGAAUUGUUAUGGUGAAUCGAAUGCCCUAGUCUCCCAAUCUGUUUUCCAGCCUACAAAAGUACUCUUUGUUACAUUUGUUCACUUUGCUUUUGUUUGAAAUUUCGUUUUGCCUCAUUUGUUCAACAAUUACAAUCACUCUUGCUUUAAAUUCUAUUUUAGACUUAACCUCCUACUUUCUUGAAUUUGGUAACCUAAGUACAUAACUAAUUUUAACUUCUCAGUCCUCGUGGGUACGACCUCGUACUUGUCUUGCUAUACUACUAAUUGGCCCGUACAAUUGCGAGUAAACAUUUUAACAACACAAAUCCCUUUAGUAAUGCCUCUAAACUCGGCUUUUGCAUUGGAUAAAGCUACUACAUUCUGUUUCUUGCUCAUCCAUGUCACCAAAUUACCUCCCACGAAUGUGAAGUAACCCAAUAUGGAUUUUCUAUCUGUUACAUUACAUGCCCAAUCUGCAUUUGAAUAACCAUCAAUAUUUAGAUGACCAUGCUUUGAGAACAUAAGUUCUUUUCCAGGUGUAGACUUCAAAUAUCUAAGUAUCCGAAGAACUGCAUUCAUGUGGUCUUCACUUGGAGAGUGCAUAAAUUGACUGACAACGCUCACCGCAUAAGCAAUGUCUGGUCGAGUAUGUGACAAAUAGAUCAAUCUUCCCACUAACCUUUGGUAUCUUUCUUUGUUAGUUGGAACUUGAUCCGGAUAUUCUCCAAGAUGAUGAUUCUAAACAAUAGGAGUGUCCGCAGGUUUACAAUCUAGCAUUCCUGUGUCUGUCAACAAGUCCAAGACAUAUUUCCUUUUAGAGAGAAAUAUGCCUUGCUGCGAUCGAGCCACCUCAAUUCCCAAGAAAUACUUGAGUCCACCUAGAUCCUUCAUCUCAAACUUCGUAGCCAGAUAGUCUUGUAGCUGUGAUAUUUCCUGUUUAUCAUUCCCAGUAAUAAUCAUAUCAUCAACAUAGAUUAUUAAUGCUGUUACCUUCCCUUUUCGAUGUUUCAAGAACAGAGUAUGAUCUGAGUUGCACUGUUUGAAACCAUUGUUCUUCAUUGCCAUGGUGAACCAUCCAAACCAUGCACGUGGUGACUGUUUCAAUCCAUACAAUGCUUUUCAUAACCUGCAAACUGUUCCAAUCUGAGUAGUAUUAUAUCCAGGAGGAAUGUCCAUGUACACUUCCUUCUUGAGUUCGCCAUGUAGAAAAGCAUUCUUUACAUCAAAUUGGUGUAGUGGCCAAUCCAAAUUAGUUGCAAGGGACAAUAAGACUCUGACGGUGUUUAACUUUGCAACUGGUGCAAAAGUUUCUUUAUAGUCUAUACCAUAGGUCUGUGUAUACCCUUUUGCCACAAAUUUUGCCUUGUAUCGCUCGAUAGAUCCAUCUGCAUUGUGUUUUAUAGUAAACACUCAUCUACAUCUGAUAGUCUUUUUUCCUCGUGGUAUAGUCUCCAAUGUCCAAGUCUAAUUUUUCUCAAGAGCUUUCAUCUCCUCUUUUAUAGCUUAGACCCACUUAGGAUCUUUCAAUGCUUCAGAGACCUUGGUUAGAAUAUGGAUAGCAAACAACUGAUGCACAAAAGCUUCUCAAUGGAUACAUGAUUUGUAAUUGGAUACUUGUAUGUCUUGCCAAUAUCAGGUGAAUAACGGUUUGGUGGCUUCCCACCAUUUUGCCUGAAAGGUAAUUGAUAUCUAAUAGUUUUAUCAUCUAAAUGCACAAGUCUAGUAGGAGUAGUUACCUCAAGGAUAUUUUCAGGAGAUUGGUCUGUUGGUACUGUUGAGUUAAAAGGGAGGUCUUCAUCUUGUUAUUCUGUAUUGUUUGUAGGUGUGAGACUUGGAUCAGAAAUAUCUUCGCAUGAAUCAGGUGGGUCAGGCAAUUGAUCACUAUGAAUGGGCUAUUGGUCGCUUCUCAACAGAGAGUAAUCUCGUACUCCAGACUCGGGAUGAUCAAUCAUUUCUGUACAGAGUAGAAUUUCUUUGUUUUCUAAGUUGCUCCAAUUCUGCUCUUCACUUCGUAUCUCCCCCUGAAGCGCAGAAUUGGAUGAUAGGUCAUGGAAGAACAGCUCAGAUUCCAGAAAGGUCACAUCCAAAGUGACAUAGGUUCGUUGGGUAUGAGGGUGAUAACAGCGGUAACCUUUCUGAUGAGUGGCAUAACCCAAAAAAACACAACGAAGCGCACAGGAAUCAAGUUUGCUACGUUGAUUUGUGUGGAGAUGAACGAAAGCCACACAUCCAAAGAUUCUGGGUGUGAGGACCAAAAUAGAGGACAGAGGUCUGUGUUGCGCAAGCACCUGUAAGGGAGUUUUAAAGGUCAAUACACCAGAAAGCAUGCGGUUGAUCAGGUGAACUGCAGUGACAAUAGCAUCAUCCCAGUGAUGGCGAGGAACAUGAGCGCCAAUCAGAAGUGCUCAGGCAGUUUCAAGAAGAUGUCGAUUCUUUCAUUCAGCAUCACCAUUUUGUUGCGGUGUCUGAGGACAAGUCAUCUCAUGGAUAAUUCUAUGUUGUUGGAAGUAAGUCUGAAAGUCAUGAUUGACAAAUUCUCCACCAUUGUCAGAGCGAAGAAUCUGGAGUUGAGCAUUAAACUGAGUUUUCAUCUGUUUGUGGAAGGACUGAAAACGGGAAAACACUUUGUUUUUAUUCUUCAGCAAAUAAAGCCAUGUCAUCCGUGUACAAUCAUCGAUGAAUAUGACAAACCAUCGAACACCAGAAGGAGCAGUGAUAGGCAAAGGUCCCCAGACAUCAGAGUGAAUUAACGUAAAUGGAGUAGUACACUUGUUCGUACUCAACGGGUAGGGCACACGGUGACUCUUGGCCAAAAUACAAGGAUCACAUGUGAAGUCGGAGUCUUUGAAACCUGAGAAUAAAUCUAGUAUAAGAUGCUUCAUAUAACUAAAAGACGGAUGUCUCAAUCGACGAUGCCACAACCAGAUUUGCUUUUGUUUGCUAUCAAAGGGAUGUGUCACACUGUUAGCCACGCCGGGACUGAAGUCAUCGACAUAAUAUAGCCCCCCUCUUUUAGUACCACGACCAAGAAUCUCCUUAGUGUGAAUAUCCUGAAGAAAACAAAAACUCGGGUAAAUGAGUACACAACAAUUCAAUUGUUCAGUAAGUUAACUAACUGACAACAAUUUAGUAGAUAAAGAUGGAACAAGUAAAGUAUUAGACAGUGUGAGAGAGGAUGAGAGUGCAACAGUGUCAGCCCCUGUCACAGGAUAAGUAACACCAUUGGCAUUUGCAAUACAGGUUCGUCGAGGUUGUGUAGUAUUCAGAAAAUCAUCAGGAUCAAACGCCAUAUGAUCAGUUGCACCAGAAUCAAUUAUCCAGCUCUUGAAAUCAAUCUUAUCGGAAGUAUGGAAUCCAUAACCAGUACCAUUACUGGUCAUAUUGCAUUGUCCUCGAUCUGUAAGAGUAGCUCACCAAUCGGGGUAGCCAUGCGAUUUAAAACAAGUCUCGCAAGUGUGUCUCGGAUCACCACAAUAUGCGCAAUUUGCUCCAUUUGUCGGGGUCGUUAGUCUAGAAGUCAUAAUCUGUGCAGCGGAAGAUGCAUAGGAUACAGGUUGAGUAGGAAUUUGGAUCGGAAUCUGAGCCUGAGUAGGGGCCGGAGUCGGAGUCGAAAUCAGGAUCGGGGUCUGAAUCAGAGACAAAUUCGGGGUUGGGGUCAUCAUCGGAGUGGGAGUCGGGGUUGGGGUCGUCGUCGUCAUAGUCGGGGUCAGGGUCGGGGUCGUCAAAAGAGGAUCCUGAUUUUGGAUCGGGUUCGGGGUCAAAGUCUGCAUCUGUAAGGGCAGAGCCAUCUGGACACUCAACUCAACGAUGGUUGGUUGAGAAUGAGAGAAGGAGUCGGUGAUGCUACCUCCAUGAGGGUUGAAAAAAUCAUCAACCCCCAUAGCGGCGGCGGGGGUUUGAAACUAGAGUAAGCAAUUCCAAGAUCGCCGCUCUGAUACCAUGCUAAAAUAUGAAAACUAUGAGAGAAUAUUUGUUUGUGGGAAUUUUCUGUGUAUUCUUCUCUUUGUAGGAAGUCAUAUUUAUAAUACAACGAAACCUGAAUGAGCAAGUAAAUAAUAAAUUCCUAAAUCUAUUUACAGUAGGAAAUCAGGAAUUAAAGCAAAUCAAUUACAAUUAUAAUAGGAAUUCUUGGUGUGUAAUGAAAGUAAGUCAAUAUCCACAAUCACGCCAACAGUAUGGUUAGUCAGUUUAUGCAUUUACCCAGUGUGUCCCAUAGGAAUGCAAUUGAUCGAAUCUUAAGAUACUCCCAUAGGAAUGCAAUUGAUCGAAUCUUAAGAUACUUAAAGUCAGCACUUGGAAAAGGAUUAAUGUUCUCAAAAAAUAGAGCUCUCGAAGUUGUUGGAUAUACAGAUGUUGAUUGGGCUGGUUUUGUUAGUGAUAGUCACUCUACUUCAGGUUACUUCAUUUUUGUGGGAGGUAACUUAGUCACUUGGCGGAGUAAGAAACAAAAUGUGGUUUCUCGGUCUAUUGCUAAAGCAGAGUAUCGAGGAAGGGCUCACGGAGUUUGUGAAUUACUAUGGAUUAGAAGACUAUUGACAGAAACCCAAUUGAGUUACAUUGUGAUAAUAAGUCAACCAUUGAUAUUGCCCAUAAUCCAGUUCAACAUGAUCGAACUAAACAUGUUGAGGUGGAUAGACAUUUUCUCAAAGAAAAAAUUGAGAAGAAGAUUAUCUGCCUGCCAUUCAUAAGAUGAAAAGAUCAAUUGGCAGAUAUCUUAACCAAAGCUGUUUGUGGAAGAGUAUUUCAUGACUCACUUACCAAGUUGGGCAUUGGUGACGUAUAUGCACUAACUUUAGGAGGAGUGUUGACGUGAGUCUCCUAAUUAAUCAAGGAGAUUUAUUUCCUUAAUUAAUUAAGGGAUUUACUUUCCUAUUUUUAUAUAGUUGAUAAAUCGUUGUAUAAUUAGGAGAUACUUUUCUAAUGCUUUACUGUAUCUAAUUCCUUGUAAAGCACCCUGCAAACUCUUAUUUAUACCUCCUUAUGGAAAAGAAUAAGAUUAACCUAAUACAUUCAAACCAUAUUCAUAUUUUAGCAUUAAAAAGUUAAAAUUGCCCAAAGUGAAAAAAAAAAAUUCUACAGUUUAUCUAGCUCAUAACCUAAAUACUUCAGUGUUCCAUAUGUGAAAUACAAGAAUGCUGUGAGAACUCUAAGGUGUCAUUUUAGUGAUGUGUCUCGGGCCUUCGAAUUUUUAGGGUCGACCCUAAUUAGUAAACAUUUUUUAUCAAUAAUUAAAAAAUGUAAAGCAACCCCAAUGCGAAGAAUCGAGAAAUUUAGGAAUCGGAAGUAGUGAAUCGGUAUGGGAAGAAUCAUUCCAAUUAAGUCGUUUACUAACCAUAUAAAAUCAACACAUAAAUAGAAUUAAAUUCCAUUAUUAUUAUUUACUAAUUCUCAUUAAUCAGAACCUAUACUAAUCUACGUUACACUAAUCCAUUGUUAUUUAAUUUGUAAAUCCACAACCAAUAUUCUUUCCAAAAAGUGUUAGUUAUUUUAAUAAUAAUGUUAUAGAUAAAUGCAUUAUAUACACACUGGUUCCUCCCACCUUCUCACGAUAAUGACAAAUAUAAGGCAGAUGCUUGUAAUUGUAAUUUGCAACAGCUUUCAAGACAUGAAAUUCUAUUCGACGUGUUGAAGUUUCAAAAAAGGUAAGCCUAUGAUGAUUUGCCAAUUGACCCUUAAUUUUGUCCCAUGUUACACGGUCAAAGGAAGGUUAUUGAAACUUGAUCUUACCGUCAAUUAUAAUGCAUAGAAUGAACGGACGGCAUCAAACACACUUGAUGACAACAUAGGGAUAUGGGUCUUUGACUUUUAGUAUUGACAUAUGAACAGCAUUUUCCUUAGCUGCCAAUUAAGCUUUAGAAUGCCAUGCUAUAAAAAGAGGUCAUAUAUCUCAUCUUCAAUAUCGCUCAAGUCAUCACAACCAAUUUUGCAUAUUAAUCAUUAUAUAUCUUUCCUGCUAUUCACCAAAAAUGGUGAGUUUAUCAGUCUUAUAUUUAUUAGUACUUGUUUUUUUGCUCAAUUGUCUCCCUUAAUGUUGUGUUCCAUCAUGUUAUGAGUCUUGGCUUCACCAUUGCCAGACUCGUAGCUAUGUUGGUAGAAACUAUUUAUUAGUCUAUAUACAAGAAGACCAGAAGGAAAUGGGGUUCAGGCUUAUCCCAGUCUGACUCGGUCAAAAAGAAAAAAGUCAUUUUGACGUAUUGGACUAUGCAUGCGUAUUAUACUUGAAAGUAUUGGACUAACACAUUUUUGUUUCAAUUUUGCAACUGACAAAUUUUUACUUGUUGCUUGUUUCUGUAUGAUUUGGUGGGAAGCAGCCUUUUUCACUAACUAUUGAGGUACGCGUAGGGCUAUUCCCUUUUUCUUUUUCUUUUUCUUUUUAAAUUUUAUGGAAAUAAGACGUGUUUCAAGGUUGAUUCUAAGCUGUUGUAUUAAUUUCUGGACCAGAAAGAAUUUGCUCAAAACUCAGAAAGGGUUAAAUCUGUGGAUCAACAUCCAACUGAGCCAUGGUAAUAUUCUACCUUCUUGACAAUUCUGUAAUGCCUUCUGCAUCUCCUAACUUUGAUUUUCAUAUAUUCUUAUCAUGUAAUCAUUUCCAUGCAGGAUUCUAGUAAGUUUGUAUUCAGGAACUCUUUGUAUCUGGAACUACCAGUCACAGGUGAGCCAUUGUUACUUUCACCAUUAAUAUCGAACUCCUAAUUAUCCGAUUCGGGAUUUUCAUGCUUUCAAUAAAUCUUCCGGAAGGGGCUAACUUAAUUUUACUGGUCCAGACCAUGGAGAAGUCCUUCAAGGUCACUGAGUCACCAGGUACAUGAUUUUCUUUCAUUUGUUCUUGAUGUUGCCAACAGGUCAUGACUUUGUAUUUAACAUCUGUUUUCUCGUUUGCAGUGAGGUCAGCCAAGUUCAUAGCACGCGAAAACUGGAUUGUAACUGCGGCUGAUGACAAGUACAUUCGCAUAUACAACUAUGAUACGAUGGAAAAGAUCAAAGAAUAUGAAGCACACACAGACUAUAUCAGGAGUGUUGCUGUCCAUCCCACUCUACCAUAUCUGUUGUCAUGUUCUGAUGACAAGGUUAUAAAGCUUUGGGAUUGGGAGAAGGAUUGGUCAUGUACUCAGAUCCUCGAGGGGCAUUCGCACUAUGUGAUGCAAGUGGCAUUUAAUCCGAAAGACACCAAUACUUUUGCUAGUGCAUCGCUUGAUGGCACCAUUAAGGUAUUGAAGGCACUGUUAAUUUGUUGCAAAUUACUUAACUGCAAUAUUUCUGGUGUCAUGACCUUUGUGACACUUAAAAGUUUUACAAUGUCCUGUUUCAUUGUAGAUAUGGAACAUUGGUUCUCCUAAAGCAGAGUUUACCUUAGAUGGCCACUCAAACGGAGUUAAUUGCAUCGAUUACUUCAGUUGCGGGGAUAAACCAUAUCUAUUGAGUGGCUCUGACGACUCUACUGCUAAGGUUUGGGACCAAGUGCUGGUUAUCAGCUUUCUGUUUAGCUCUAUAUGUACAGCGUACGAUUAUGGUGCGUAUAUGUGUCAUACUAAUUUGAAUUUUAUUUGUAAAUUAUUUUGGCAACAGGUAUGGGACAUUGAAACCAAAAGUUGUGUGCAAACUCUAGAAGGUCAUGAGCACAAUGUAACAGCUGUAUGUGUUCAUGCUGAGCUUCCCAUAAUAAUUACAGUUUCUGAGGAUGGGAACAUUCACAUAUGGAAUGCAACCACUUUUAGGUAACUUCUGAUCCAAACUACUUACAUUACAAAUUAAAUUGACUCAGUUUUCUGUUUAAUUCUUGCUAUUGCAUCGCUUUGAUCGAAACUCAUGUUGUAAACGAUUCUUGUUGUAUCACAGGCUAGAGAACAAAUUGAACUAUGGUCUUGAAAGAGUAUGGGCCAUUGGACAGUUGAAAGGAUCAAACAAGUAAGUUUCUUUUUUGUUCUUUCUUGUGGGUCAAGAUGUGUAUCUGAGAGGAUGAUUUUUCGAGUAACCGUUUGAUAUACAGGCAUGUAAAUGUGGCAAAGGACUCUCAAUUUGUUGCCCUUAGCUUGUUAGGAUUUGUUUUAUUGCAUUGUUUUACCAGCAGAUUUAUCAAAAUAAACUUUCCUUGCCUCCUACAGGGUUGCAUUUGGUUUUGACAAAGGAACCAUUGUGGUUAAAAUGAAUGGCUCUCAUACUUGGGAUUCUGUUGACCUCCAAGCUUAGAAGGAAAGGUUGAAGGAAUAAAGACAUCGAAUGCUGCGCGAUUUGUACUGUGUUCUCCGAAGUAAUUAGACUAAAGGAAUAAUUAAUUUCCCUUAAAACUUGCUGCUCCUGCUUUUACUGUUGUAUGAUU